UUUGAGGAAAGUCCCACUCUGUCUCACACAGAUGUAUCUUUGAAGAACUUUGACAUUGAGCUUGACUCUAAAGUUGAGACAUCAAGCAGUGCACCUCCUUCUGGUGCAGAGAACGAUGGUAUUCUUGAAGAAGAGGGAUUCUUACAGACUGCAACUACAGUCAGUCCUAUCACAGGCACGAUAGCUGUAGUUGCCUUACCUAAGGAAUCACCUCACAAGUUGGAAGAGACCUCAGUUUCUCCUGUGGAACCUCCUGAUGUUGAGUUGACUACUCAGAGUGACUUGAUAGACCUGGGUUCAGGCUCAGGUUUCUCUGGAGAUCAUCUUGGUCCUGACAUUUGGCCUUGGGAGUCAGAAACACCAGAAGAAGUCUUGAAGGAAGAUGAGGUAAGCCAACCUCAGGAUGCUCAGGAAUCUAUAGUGGAACAGCUUGAGCCUCCCCACCAAGAUCUGACACCCGAGGAGCCAUUCUUGGACAGGGUUCUUGUGACACAAGACAUAAGUACUAAUCCUCACUACACAACAACUGACCAAGCUCCAGUUUUUUGGACUAUGGAGACUUUGACUGUGGAGCUUUCUAUGCAGACCCAAGUAGCCCCUGAACAAUAUGAUGACUAUUUUCCAGAUGAAUCUACCACUAUGGUUUCACAUAUGAUCAGUCAACCCUCGCUUUACAUCUAUACUUCAGCAGAAACCCAAGAUGUGGAUGCAUCACAAAGUCCUGAUACAAUCAGUUCACCUGCUGAUAAGGACUAUACAGAACGACUUGUUACACCAACUGUGAUCCCACCAAGCACAGCAGUAUUCAUGGAUGAAAAAACUACUUCAACAAAAAACAAGCAGAGUCAGGAAACACAGGCCUCCACAACAAAGUCAAAUGAAAUGCCUUCAACCACGCAAUUACCUGUAAUCCUAGAAAUUGAUACGGUUUCUGUGGAAGGUACUACCACUUAUUCAGAAGCUGUUGAGCAUCCUGUAGCUGAAGGUAUCACAGAGUUACCUGCACUCUUAUGGCCAGA
ensembl:lncRNA